AUUUGGUUUCUCUUGGUUUUAUUGUUUUUCUGUUGAAAAGUCACCCAGCAAUCUUACUCUUUCACAGAACCUGCCUUCCUGAUCCUAAGAGCCCCUCCCCCUCCCCCGUUUGGGUUCUUCCUAUUCUUGCUGUUCUGUACUCUGUACCUAGGUAUUUAGGUGGGAGGAUGUCACAGAUGUUCUUAAAUCUGAGGUUUCAUUUUGGAACAUUCUCGGUAUCUCCAAAUUUUAUCUUCUCCUCUCGUAUUCCAGGUGUGUGUGUGCGUGUGGGACUUUUAACCAUAUAUCUCGCUAUGUAUUGUAUUUAUUACUUUGGUGUGUGUGUGCUGCAUGUGUGCUUAUGUGUAUGUAUGUACAUGUGCAUGUGGAGGCCUGAGGACAAACUGGGGUUUUGUUCCCUGGGAGCUUUCUGUCUUAUUUUUGUUCUGCAGACCGUGCUUCCCAUUGGCCUGGAGUGAGCUGAGCCCGCUAGCUGAUAGCGUGUGAGCCCCAGAACACUCUCCCUGCCACCUCUGACGCACAAGGAUUGCAAAUAGUGCCACGAUGCUUGACUUCUUUACAUGCGUUCCUGGGCCUUGAACUCAGGUUCUCACGUAUGAGCGGCAAGCUCUGCACCAGCUGACCUGUCUCCUCGGGUUCUUCACUAUGGAUUCUAAUCUGAGUAUUUUCUGUGGAUUCUUAUUCUAGUUUGCCAACUGUCUCUCGCGUGGUGUGUAAUCUGUUAUUGAACGCGCGAGUGCAUUCUUGCAUCGAGAGGCCGUGGCAUGUGACUGACCUGGACAACUAGCUCGUGUACCAGCAUGCUGUGGAGGCCCGCAGUGAUGACAUCAUCAUAGUGACACGGCCUCUGGAGCACACCCCAUCGGAGUGAGGCAUAUUGUGCUUUUCUCUCGGACUGCUUUUGAGCAUUUUCUCUUUUUGAUAUUUAAAGUUUUAGGUAUCCUGAACAUUUCACCCUGGCGUUUUUAGGUACUGCUUGUUAUUUACGGUGCUCACCUUGGGUUAGUAGACGGUAUCACAGUUCUCUGGUUUUCAGUUCUGAGAAAUUUUCAGCCAUUUACUCUGUACCUGUUGCCUCUGCCCUUUAACUCUCUCCAGUCUUCUGGAAUUCCAAUUUGAUCUUUAAUAAUUUCAUUAUUCCAUUCCCUUGCCUCUCUGAACUGUAUUUUGGAUAAUUUAGAGCUGUCUUCUAGUAUCAGCAUGAUCAAUUCAGUUUUUCCUGCUUUAUUUUGAGAAUAUUUUUAGUUGAGAAAAUGUGACACCAUUCAGAAAAGUAUGAGAUAAUAAAUGCCAGUUUGGCAAUUUUUUUGUUUUAAAUUUUAUGUGUAUGAGUGUUUGCCUGCAUGUGUGUGUUUGUACCACAUGUUUGAGGGAACCCAUGGAGGCCAGAAGAGGGUGCUGAAGUCCCCGGAACUGGAGUUACAGAAGAUUGUGAGCCAGGUCAUCCAGGCUGCUCUUGGUGUUAGGAGCCAAACCCAGGUCCUCCGCAAGGGUCCCUCACUGAACCUGGAGCUAGGCUGGAUGUCAGCAAGCCCCUUGAGGUUUGUUUAUUUAUUUAUUGACUACAAGCUUGUUAUUGUGGUUGUAAUCUUAACUAUUCCCCCAGAGGCUCAUGUAUUGAACAUUUGAUCCCUGGCAGGCGGUGCUUGGGGAUAUUUUUGAACCUUUGUAGAACGGGUCUUAAUGGAAGGAAUUAAGCCCUUGGGGGUGUGCCCCUAUAGGUGAGUUGGGAAAAGAUCCCGGCUCCUUUCUUCUUUGCUCCCAGACUGCCAUGUGGUAAGCAGCUUUGCUUCACCUCACUGCACCACAGUUCCAAAGUGAGUGGGCUGAGCAUACAUGGCCUCAAAUCUCUGAAAGCACGAGCCAAAAUAAACAGCGCCUCAAUGACAGGCAGCGAAUAACAAACAUUCUCGUGAUCCUCUGAACUGUAUCUGAAGGGGUUUUCUUUUCCUGCUGAGUGUCUUUUGUUUGAUAUUGUCAGACGCCCGUGGGUGCUGCCAGCCCAGGAUCACAAGAAAAGGAAUUCUUACCUCGUAGCUUUGGAUCACCGUGUGCCUACACAAGACAGGAAAACUGAGGCUUCUUGGUCACGUUCUCAGACGGGACGUUUGAGCACAUUUACUAGGCCCUAGAGACCAAGCUCACAGCCUUUGAGGUGAAUUGGCAGACCAAGGGUUCUGUGCCCUGAUGAAGGUUCCCAGAAGUACUGGAGGUGGAAGGUCAGCAUUGAGAGCAGAUUCCUGAGUCAGGCUGGCGGGAAGCAGAGGGUGCUGGGAAUCCUCUCUUUGGAGAUCUUCCCAGGGCGGGGGGUGGGGUAGGGUAGGGGCUCCCAGCACAUGCGCUUUGGGCACUUUCAGGAGAUUUUGCCUGAAGACACGGGGUAACAGGGUGGGAGGAAAGGAUUUUGGGCUGGGCAUCCGGAGGCCAGAGCCGCCAUCGGGGUGGCAUGCUGGACAUUCCUAGGACUGCUCCCCUGGCCCUUCCCCUGAGUUACAGCAACUGUAUUCCAUCUAGAUGUUCUUCUUAGCUGUCACCUGAGGGGUCCGCCCUCCGGGCUCAACGACCCGCCCAGGCUCCAGUCCCUCCAGCAGGGGGACCCAGAGCUCCAGCCAAGGGCGCAGAACCGCGCUCCGCAGUUUCUCUGUCGGAGGAAACGGGAAAUCGUUGUCCUGUCAUUCUCGAAGCCGCGAGGGGCAAAAGAGCCCCGCAAAGACAACGUGCUCACACUGCCCUGCAGCACUUCAUUCUGGACCGUCGGCCGUAUGCUACUGUACCCAGACACCGGUUCUGUGUGAUGAGAUCGUUCAACUUUGGAGUCAGCGAAACAGCUCAGUGGUAGAGGACUUGCCUAGCACGGGCGACGCCCUGAGUAUCGGGGAAGGGGAAAUGCAGAAGCCUAGUCAUCCGAAGGCCCCUCUGUGUCACCAGCAUGAGCAACCAGAUCGAAUGAGUGGCAUUUAGGAAUAGGAAUUAAUUUUUGAUCUGUGGGUCCAUAGAGGGAGCAGCAGAUGGCUGGACUACAGGCUACCCCUCUUCUUCCCUGGCAUUAGGCAAGUGACCCUGCUCCGGGUGCGAAUUCCUUCUGGAUCUGAAGGGAGUGUCUGUAGAAUGGCAUUUAGAGUUGUGCUUAAGAUCAGGAAACGGGGGCCAGGAAAAGACAGGCAGAGGGAAUGAGCCUGUGUGACCGGUUUGGAGGGGCGAGGAAUGAGUGAACGUUCACUGUCUGCACGCCUCACUUCUGUGCCUCCUGGAUUGGAACACAGCCUAUGAAAAUGUGUGUGUCGUAGGCUUUCUGACAUGCUCACUGCCCUGGGGCCUCAGCUGAACAAACGGUGCUCCACCCCAGCUGGCGCUCUGCUUGGCAGGGAGAAAGCUUUUCUGGCUUCGGUGUCAGCCUUCAUACCUCAUAUUGGUACACAUGGCACCACACUAGAGGGCCAUUGUAAGGCCACCGUGCUCCUAACUACUGUUGCUUCUCAGUCCCCGCCGUUGUCCCCUGAGCUGUGUGUGUUCAUGUACACAUUUAUGCCUGAACUUCUGUAGCAGCCUUGUUUACAAUAGCCCCAAGGUGAAACCAGCCCAAAUGCCCAUCAGCUGACAGUCAAAAUGUGGACUGUCCAUGAAUUGAAAUCUUAUUCAAUCAUUGAAACUGAGUACUGAGCUGGUGAGGUGGCUCAGUGGGUAAAAGAGCUGAUGAGCAAGCCUGCUGACCUGAGCUAGAUCCCUAGAGCACAGGGGGAGGAGAGAACCGGCUCCCAUGUUAUCCCUUUGAUUUCUGCAAUAAUAGAAGAAGAAGAAGAAGAAGAAGAAGAAGAGGAGGAGGAGGAGGAGGAGG